rnacentral:lncRNA from 10 species
GGCUCGCGAGCGUCUUUGUGUGUCCGCCGCUGUGUGUUUGAAGAUGCCGCCGGGGAAGGUUCGCGGGAAGCCGACGCAGAUGGGGAGAGGAGGGGGUCUCAGGAUAGCGGUGGUGGGGAUGAAAUGGUUCUCAGCUGCUAAGGAAGGAAGCUCUAGCGCCCCACUCCCUCCAGUCUGCCGCGAGUCCUGCGUAAACAGGACCCCCCGGGGCCGAGAAUCCCGGGAUUGCUGCUGUAACCGCCCAGCCCAGGCGUUGUCAAGCCAAACAAGUUUCCCCGGCCCCUGAGCCGUUUCGUCCCUUCUAGAAGGCCCCCGGUGCUGCCACUGCCUGCUUGAACGGGCCACCAGCGCGCCUUCCUUCUACAGGUGGCAGGGCCAGGCUCUGAAAGAACCCCAGCCCUUGCCGACCCGGGUGCUGCGUACUCAGCCCGUUCCCGCCGCGUCCCUCCAGCCCUCUCCCAAGGGCCAGUUCACCCUCCUCCACUCGGAAAGGAACCAGAGAGCCAGGGGGAAGCAAGCUCAGCCCCAGGGGCCUUAGGCGGAGAUGGGGGCGUCAGCCUAGGUCCCCGGAGCCGGGUUUCUCAGCACACCCUCCGCCCCUCGCCGCUAGAGCGGCCCCUGGCCUUCCCCUCCCUGGGCACGGCAUCCCUUGUCCAGGCUCCUGGGCACGGCAUCCCUUGUCCAGGCUCCUGGGCACGGCAUCCCUUGUCCAGGCUCCUGGGCACGGCAUCCCUUGUCCAGGCUCCUGGGCACGGCAUCCCUUGUCCAGGCUCCUGGGCACGGCAUCCCUUGUCCAGGCUGCUGGGCACGGCAUCCCUUGUCCAGGCUCCUGGGCACAGUCUCUUCCGGCCUGUCUCUCUCUUCCUCUCUGACCUGCUUCCCCGUUUCCCCGGUGUCUCGCUGUGCCUUUGCCUCUGUCUCUGCCUCUCAUUUUCUCUGCCUCUCUCUCAUCGGAUCUUUGCCCGCGAAGCUACCCCCAUCCCCCGCCCCCGCAAAGGAACACACACGGGCAGAAUCCGCCUUUGCAAUAAAAAAC